ACCUACGGGGGGCAGCAGUGGGGAAUAUUGCACAAUGGGCGAAGGCCUGAUGCAGCGACGCCGCGUGAAGGAUGAAGUAUUUCGGUAUGUAAACUUCUAUCAGCAGGGAAGAAAAUGACGGUACCUGACUAAGAAGCCCCGGCUAACUACGUGCCAGCAGCCGCGGUAAUACGUAGGGGGCAAGCGUUAUCCGGAUUUACUGGGUGUAAAGGGAGCGUAGACGGCGAUGCAAGCCAGAUGUGAAGGCCCGGGGCUCAACCCCGGGACUGCAUUUGGAAC
rnacentral:rRNA from 1 species